rnacentral:rRNA from 1 species
GAUGGUAGAGGGAGGUGGAAUUCCGGGUGUAGCGGUGGAAUGCGCAGAUAUCCGGAGGAACACCAGUGGCGAAAGCGGCCUCCUGGACCACUCCUGACACUCAGACGCGAAAGCUAGGGUAGCAAACGGGAUUAGAGACCCCGGUAGUCCUAGCCCUAAACGAUGUAGACUUGGCGUCGGUGGUUUAAACGCCAUCGGUGUCGAAGCUAACGCGAUAAGUCUACCGCCUGGGGACUACGGCCGCAAGGUUAAAACUCAAAGGAAUUGACGGGUCCCCGCACAAGCAGCGGAGCGUGUGGUUUAAUUCGUUGCUACACGAAGAACCUUACCUGGGUUUGACAUAGAGGUGGUAGGGAAGCGAAAGCGGACCGACCCUUCGGGGAGCCUCUACAGGUGUUGCAUGGCUGUCGUCAGCUCGUGUCGUGAGAUGUUCGGUUAAGUCCGCUAACGAGCGCAACCCUCGCUGUGUGUUACAAGUGUCACACGGUACUGCCGGUAUUAAGUCGGAGGAAGGUGGGGAUGACGUCAAGUCAGCAUGACCUUUAUAUCCAGGGCUACACACACGCUACAAUGGUCAGUACAAUAGGUUGCCAAGCCGCGAGGCGGAGCCAAUCCUAAAAAGCUGGCCUCAGUUCAGAUUGCAGUCUGCAACUCGACUGCAUGAAGUUGGAGUUGCUAGUAACCGCAGGUCAGCUAUACUGCGGUGAAUACGUUCCCGGGGAUUGACAUCACCGCCCGUAAGGGCG